GAUGAAAGGAACUAGAAGGCUGGGAAUUGGGUAACAGGCAUAAUCAGCAAGCAGAACAAGUGCAGCCAUUGGGGGAGUUCAUAAGCCAAUUAGGAUCUCUUGCACAAAGGGUGUCCCAGAUCCCUCAGGCAGUCGAAAGAGGCAUAUAAAAAUGUUUGCCACUCAGGGUUCGUCUAACCACUUCUAUCAAUUCUUUCUCCCUGGUGAACUAAGUGGUCCUCCAUCACUGAGAGAUGUCUUGUGGAACAGGGUGCUCCAACCCAUGCGAAGUGAACUGCCCACAGCCACAGGCUGUCACCGCCAAUGAGCCAUGUGUUAUCACCUGUCCUGACUCAAGAGUGAUCAUUUACCCACCACCAGUGGUUGUCACUUUCCCGGGACCAAUUCUCACCACUUGCCCUCAGGAAAGUGUAGUGGCAUCCACAGCAUCAGCUGACACUGUGCCAGCUGAAAUGCCAGCCUCAGUACCUUUGACUGCAGCGGUCAGUGGAAGUUUGGAGCCACGCGCUGAGACCAUUGCACCCCCAAUUAUUCCGAGACCCUUGCCUCGGUAUGUUCCUAAAUAUUCACAUACUUACUCUUCCCAUUGGAUGCAUCCUUGCAAUACAAACCGCUUUGGAAAGCGUUGGGCAUAUUAAACCCAGAAGAAGUAGCCAUGGUACAAUUUAGAUACAGCGACUGAAAGUCAAGGUCCAGAUUCAUGGCUGAGCUAAGGGACUGGUUCUCAGAAGUGCUGAGGCCCAUGAAUCCAACUAAAGUCAGUAAGAAGUGUAAGCAUUCAGCACCUCUAAAAACCAGGCCUAUAUAUAGAGAGAUAGAAAUAUAGAUAUCUAUAGCUCAUAUUACCCUUUAUUUUAGAUCAGUUAUCUAAUGGCUGCCCAGCUUAAUCUUCUGCUUGCACUGUGCUUUGACUUAUCUGACACUGGCUUUGGUCAAAUAAAUCAUGUGGGUGGUUUGAGAACAAGACUUAAUUGUCAAACUCUUCAGCUGCGGGAAAGAAAGACAAACAUCUUGCAUGAAAUGCAUUACCUUGUACAGGGGAAUUAUUUGCAAUCCUCACCAAAUGCCUGGAAAUCUAUUCUUUCUACUCCAUGUGCUUUUGUGUUCUCCUCAUCUCAGAAUAAAAAUGAUAUUUUACCCCAAA